rnacentral:rRNA from 1 species
CGCGUGCACUGGUUCGGCCGGGUCUUUCCUUCUGCGGAACGGCAUGCCCUUCACUGGGUGUGUUUUGGGAAGCAGGACUUUUACUUUGAAAAAAUUAGAGUGUUCAAAGCAGGCCUUUGCUCGAAUACAUUAGCAUGGAAUAAUGGAAUAGGACGGUGCUCCUAUUUUGUUGGUUUCUAGGAGAGCCGUAAUGAUUAAUAGGGACAGUUGGGGGCAUCCGUAUUCAGUUGUCAGAGGUGAAAUUCUUGGAUUUACUGAAGACGAACUACUGCGAAAGCAUUUGCCAAAGAUGUUUUCAUUAAUCAGUGAACGAAAGUUAGGGGAUCGAAGACGAUCAGAUACCGUCGUAGUCUUAACCAUAAACUAUGCCGACUAGGGAUCGGGCGAUGUUAUUGUAUUGACUCGCUCGGCACCUUUCGAGAAAUCAAAGUGUUUGGGUUCUGGGGGGAGUAUGGUCGCAAGGCUGAAACUUAAAGAAAUUGACGGAAGGGCACCACCAGGAGUGGAGCCUGCGGCUUAAUUUGACUCAACACGGGGAAACUCACCAGGUCCAGAUACACGUAGGAUUGACAGAUUGAGAGCUCUUUCUUGAUUGUGUAGUUGGUGGUGCAUGGCCGUUCUUAGUUGGUGGAGUGAUUUGUCUGCUUAAUUGCGAUAACGAACGAGACCUUCAUCGUUAACUAGCCCGGCCCGCCUUGGCGGGUCGCCGGCUUCUUAGCGAGACUUUUGG